rnacentral:rRNA from 1 species
UACGGGGGGGGCAAGCGUUGUUCGGAAUUACUGGGCGUAAAGGGUUCGUAGGUGGCCAACUAAGUCAGACGUGAAAUCCCUCGGCUUAACCGGGGAACUGCGUCUGAUACUGGAUGGCUUGAGUUUGGGAGAGGGACGCGGAAUUCCAGGUGUAGCGGUGAAAUGCGUAGAUAUCUGGAGGAACACCGGUGGCGAAGGCGGCGUCCUGGACCAAUACUGACACUGAAACGCGAAAGCCAGGGGAGCAAACGGG